GAGCAGGGGAGGGCAGAGAGAGAGGGAGCCACAGAAUCUGAAGCAGGCUCUAGGCUCUGAGCUGUCAGCACAGAGCCCGAGGCGGGGCUUGAAUGCAGGAACCACGGUGAGAUCAUGAUCUGAGCCGAAGUCAGAUGCUCAAGUGACUGAGCCACGCAGGUGCCCCUAAAGUGAGAAUUCUUUUUUGUACGUUGCACAGAAUGUGGUGAUGUGUUACCCACCGCCCCAACACACACUUGCUGAGUUGAGUGAUCAUCUGCCACUGAGACGCAUACUGAUACGGUAAAUGAGAAGAGGCAGCCAUUUGCCUAAUGGAAACCAGGCAUCUGUGUUUAGAAGGUCUACACUUGUCAGUGAAUCUGUGCAUGAUCCUUGAACUUUACACAUUCUAGAAGGGGAAAGAGGAUAUUGGGUUUUGAGGAGCAGAGGACCGAGCUCUACUGGAGAUGUAAAAGUACUGACUGGAGAUGGGAUCUCAAAGCCGUAGGCUAGCACAAGUCAUAUUUCAACACUUUGUGUGUUAAAUGUUAACAAGUGCUUGUGUUAAAUGAUAUGAAUUAGCAAGCCAAGGAUGACUAUUUUGCAUUUAAGAAGGCACUGAGCCUUCUGGGCUUAUAGAAUGCAGGGUAUCUGCAACAGAGGAGUCUUUGGGAGUUGUAGGUUUGUUGAUUUCUCAGAAAACAUCUAAUACUUUUUAGCAUUACUUUUGCAAAUUUUCUGGCAAACUCUAUUUGGAAAACUUAGAAUAUUGAGGGUGGGGAAUCAUCUGUACUUCACGGAAGGGAAAUCAGAGAUCUUGGGUGUGUAUUGUGAAGGUUAAUUUUACGUGUCAAAUUUACCAAGGCCAUGUGGUGCCCAGAUAUUUGAUCAAAUAUUAUUUGGGUGUUUCAGUGAGAAUAAUUUUGGAUGAGAUGAACAUUGAAAUCAGUAGACUGAGUAAAGCAGAUAGUCCUCCAUAAUGUGGGUGGGUCUCAUCCAAUAAGUUGAAGGUCUGUAUAGAACAAAAAUGCUAGUUCUCCUUCAAGUAGGAAAGAAUUUUUUCUUUCUGAUGGCCUUCAAACUAGAACAUCACCUUUUUCUUCUCUUUGAACUCAAAAGGAGAUAUUUGUUCUUCCUGCUGGCGUUUGGACUGGAACUACAUCAUCAGCUCUCCUGAUCUUCAGCUUACGAAAUCAGCUUGCAGAUUUAGGGAUUGCCAGCCUCUGUAAUUGGGAAGAAAAAUGGAAAGCUGUGAGGAAGUAAGGUCAUCACGAGGAGAAAGUCACCGAAGUGCCUCGGCUUCCCUGGAUUCUAGAUGCUACAGCAGUGGAGGAAAAAAAGUCCUCCAAAGCUAGGACUCGGGACUCUCUUCCUUAUGCUUCCUGCCUAACUGGGGUCGAAGAUCUGGGGCCACCCAGAUGCAGUACGACUGUGAGUGGGAAGUGCUUUGAGUUCUUUAGAGAGCUAUGUUUUAUAAAUACUGUUAUUAUUCAAGCUAUUAUGAAAGCCGAGCCCUGGUUUUCACUGAUGUGUUCCUGGAGGUAGUGGGUGGGCAGCAACCCACUCUACUAUCCUGCCAGAGGCGCUUAACCUCCUCCUUACUUCCCUCCAAGCAGGGCAUCUCACUUCUGUUGUUUUUAGUUCCCUUGCUUCCUCAGGGAGCUCACCCUCCCACUUCUCACAGAAGGUCAAUCCCCAGAGAGGGAGCCAAUCAGGCAGGAAAUCUCAGAAGAACAAAUCACAGUAGCAAUGUUAGUAAAAAUAGCUGGAUUUAGCCCAUGAUCACUUUUUUUAAAGAGAGUUUGCCUGGUGCACGUAUUCAUUACUGUACGUCUCUCCCCCACGCUGCAGGAGCCCAAAGGUGUCAGUUGGCAAGGAGUUUAAAUCUUCCUCGGGGAUCCUUACAGUUCCUGCAGCUACCUUCUAACCACCUGCCGCGGGCAAUGGAUGAGCCCUGAUCAAUUGUAGCCCAUCUCCAUUUAUUCAUGUACGUUUUGGCACAUGUGCAAUUCCUGUAUACCUAAGGCAGUCCAUCUUAUAGAAACAUUUUUGGAGUCAUUUGGGUUUUUUGUCUCUCUUAAAAUAAGUGUUUGAAAUUACAGUUAUGGAUGUCCACAAUUUAACGUCCUCCCACACAUAUUUUAAUUGUAGCUUGUACCUAGGAAGUUCAGAAUCAUAGCGGAAGCAUAUAUGGACAUUGAAAAAAAUUAUGCUGGUAGGGUUGGUUUCCAUUAGAAUAUCUGGAAGGAGAAAUUCUCAACCAAAGAUUCAAGAUUGAUGUUGAACUCUGCCAUAUUUGUCACACUGCAGUUUUUAGAAUUGGAUUUUUCUAGGAGCGCCUGGGUGGCUCAGUCGGUUGAGCUUCUGACUUCAGCUUAGGUCAUGAUCUCACAGUCUGUGAGUUCGAGCCCUGCGUCGGGCUCCGUGCUGACAGCUCAGAGCCUGGAGCCUGCUUCAGAUUCUAUGUGUCCUUCUCUCUCUGACCCUCCCUCGCUCAUGCUCUGUAUCUCUCUGUCUCAAAAAUAAAAUAAAACAUUUAAAAAAACCAAUUUAAGUAGAAUUGGAUUUUUCUAAGUUCCAGACACUCUGAGAUCAUUAUUUCAAACAGCACCCAAAAAUGCAUGGAAUUAGUCUCCUCAUUGUGAGUUAAGUAACAUAGUACAAAAUUGUUCACAGAAUCGUAUUUGUAUAAUGAGCACCAAGGUGCAUGAGAAGACAGGUUUUGGAGGUCAUCUGCCCUAGCCUUCUCUGUCACAGAUGGAGGAACUGAUGGCCAAAAAAGGUUCAGUCUCUUCUGAAUGACACUCAGUUUGUGGCAGAGCAUGGACCAAAGUCAAGGUUUUCUGAGUGAAUUCUGUUCACUAUGCCUUCCAUUGAUACUCUAUUAGUUGUAUCACUUUUGAGAACCAGGAGAAAAAUUUCUAAAUGAAAAUGCAAAUGUUGGUGUUAAAUUAAAACAGCUAAGUUAAAUGUAAAGAUAUAGGAACUCUUUAGUUCGUCUACGGUUAUAGGGUAAUAUAUUUUUAUGACAACACAUAUAAGAUGAUUGGACUGAUUUGAAAAUACAUAAAAAAACAGAAAAAAUAAAUACAGAAAAAAUAUACAUAAAUAAAAUCACCUCCCAGAGCGAACAACUAGCAUUUUGAUGUAGUUCUUUCUAGUUUUCUCUUGCAUUCUUUUCCCAUAAGUACGUGUGAAGAUGUUUAUUCAUCUGUACAUGUGCAAACCUAUAAAUAACAGACGAUACUGGAAAACAAUUUUAUAUAUUCAUUCUUUCCUUUAGCUUUGGUCAUAAACAUUUUUCCAUGGCUUUCUGCAGUUUAAAAAUAUUUUAAAAUAAUAUACACAUUAUGUCUCAUUUGGACAAAAUUUCAAACCACCUCCCUCAAGGUAUUCUGUAUUUUAUAUUUAUAUAUAAAUAAAUAUUUUUGUCUGCUUUUCUGAUUUUUUUUUUCUUUUUCCAGCGGGGAGAUAGCACCUCAUAGGGAAAAAUACCACAGACCCUAAAGAGAAAUUAAUUUGUAUUUACAAAGAAGUCUAAAACCGUCCAAUGCACAUUUGUUUUCUAUUUUGAUUUCUGUGGUGGUUUCUACCCAAGUCUUCAAAUCAGAAUGGAACCCAAGGCAGAAUGAUUAUUCUUCUUCUCUUAUGAGGAGACAGAAAUGGCUAUAAUGGGACUCUUAUGGCUGAUAGGAUGAUGGGAUAAACAUCUUGUAGUGUCAAAUCAACAAAAAAGAAUUGGCUGUGGAAUCUGGAAAAAUAGCUAGCUCAGUGCACUAAUAAACCAGGGAAAGAAAAGAAAUUUUGAGACAGAUUUGAAAUCUGCUUAUGCAAACUGAAAAAAAUGGUAUUUAUGGUGUCAACAAAAGUGUCAUUGCCUCUACAAUACGCCAAACAUGGGAUUAGGUGGCAGGAACAAACAUGUACAUAAGACAUGAUUCCACUUCUCAAAUGGCUCGCAUCCUGAUAUGACAUACCUAACAUAUACACCAGUGACUACUCUAACAUUCCAGUCCAAUAAUGAUAUUUGGAAUGACAAAGGAAUGGAAUGAUGCAAAGUGGUGUGGAAAGGCAGAGGAAUGGUCAAUUCAAUUAAUGAUCAAUUAACUUUGACCCACACAGAAUACUUCUAAGAAAGAGAGAGUCUUAAAUUACUACCUUAUUGCUAAGAGAUAGGAUGUUCCACAAUGAAACUAUUAUGAAUAGAUAAUAGGUCGUGUGCUGGAGGAAAAACAGAAGAGUCAUUCAGUCAUUUCUUCCACAAAAAUGUAUAGAAUACAUGUCAUAUGUCAGGCACUAUUCCAGACAUUACUAACAGAGCUGUGAACCAGACAAUGAAAGCCCUGGCCUUCUGGAGUGAGAGAGAAAGUCUGGAGUCUGGAACUCAAGGUUAAUUUUUGAUCUAGAUGUAUAACUUUGAGAGUGACACAUCAGCACAAAGAUUUUUACUUAAAACCACAGCAGUAGGUAAGAUCAUCUAGAAAGUGAGGGAAAGCAGAAGGAGAAAAGGGAGAAAACGUGAACCUCAGAGAUGUAAAAGUUAGGAAGAAAAGACAAAGGUGUAGAGACUGAGAAGAAACGGUCAGUGAAUAACUUCAGGAAAUGUCCGGGAAAACCAUGACCAUGAGGAAUCCCAGAAGACAGAUGAAGAAGUGUUUCAAGAAAGAGGGAGAGACCGAUGGAGUCAAAUGUGAGUUUAUCAACUGAGACAAGGGCAGAGAAUUUACCAUUGGAUUUAGCAAUGAUGAAGUCAUUAGUGACCUGAAGAUUUAUUUUGGUGGACUUUAUAUAUAUAUAAUUGUAAAUAAAAUCACUUUCCAGAGGGAUCUUAUUCUCUAAACAAGGCAGAAAUUGUAGAGCAUCAAAUGAUAUUGAAAAUUUAGAGUGUUUAAUAUUGGAUUUGAUAAAAUUGCUGUCAUUGAAGACAUUGACAAGGGGAUUUUCACUAGGGUGUUGAGAAAGAAAGCUUGAUUAGUUUAAGACAAAAUAGGAGGUGAGGCCCUAAAGACAAUAAAGAGAAUGGAAAAUAAUUUCAUGGAUUCUCCUACAGGGGAGAAGAGAGUGCAAAGAUUCAAAAAGAUAAGACAGAGGGUCCCUAGUUUCCCUGGUUUCAACCAUUGCUUCUGUUUUCUGGUGUUGUUGUUUUUUUUUCUCCUUUCCUCCAUUUUGUUAAACCUCUCACACCCGAACCUUGUCUAACCAACAAACCACAGGCUUACCGAACAGCUCUUGAAAAAAACUGUUCUGACAGUUAUUGGGAUGUCAUUGUGCCAACCACACCAGCUAGUAGGAAUGACAAACUGGAACAAUCUUCCACUGUCCCAACAGCAAGUUUUACAGGUGUUGGAGAUGAAAGCUGCUACCUGAGCCAAACCACAUGUCCCCCUCUCUUAUCCUUUCCCUACAAAAUCCUGCUUUGGCUCUGAGUAACCUGGUCAUGCAACCUGAUGUGCAGCAGGUGUGUCUUUAACCUUUACUUGAGUUACUUAAACUAGUUUUUCCCUUGGCAAUAGAAAUGUGGCAGUAACUGAAGAGAAAUCGGCCCUCCAGAGAGGCAUGUGUAAAUAAAAGCCAUUCCUGCUUGUUUCUACUGAAAACAACCCCUACUCUAAAGAGGGAAAGACUCAUGAUGUGUUUGUAACAGGAGUGGAUAAUUGCAGGAGAAAUGAUCGUGUGCCCAAGAACAGAUGGGAUCCAGUAGAAAGGUGAAAAGUAGAAAGGAGCAAGGACUUAGGAAAGGAGAGAACACCAAUGCAGACCAUAAGAGGAUGUGGUCAUGGGAAGAUAAGGGAAUACUCUUCUGAUGUCUUCUAGUUGCUGAGUGAAACCAGAAAAGUCACCGCAUAAGAACAAGGAGAGAGGAGGGGAGUGUUGGCAGAGGAGGCCAAAGGGGGGAAGAGAAGACUUCCUGUAAUCCUUUCCAAUUCAGGAUGACAAUGACAUGCAUGGAACCUUCUCCAGACAGAGAUAAUCAGGCCUCAGAAGUUCAAUUUCCUUCACUACCUGCCUCUCCCUCUCCGGGAGCUUUCCCCAGUCCUUUCCCAGGUACGUGAUGAUGAAAUGAUAGGUAAGCAUGUGGGUUUUGGUUCGAUGAGGUUCUUCUUCCAUGGUGGAGAAGGAUCUUAUUUAUAAUAGUCAUUCUCCCUCUCCUCCUUUCUUUUUGCCAGGUCUUUUAUUCCUACUGGGAAUAAUUAGCUCUGGGCAAUUAGGAUUCAUAGUUAGCUCCCUCUAGCCAGCUUCCCAUUCUGGAAAAAGCUGAUGGCAAGCCACAGCAAUUUUCUGACUCUGGGAAGUUGCUGAGUUGACCUAGCACGGCUUUUGCACUAAGCGAAUUAUCUGCAUAUUUUCUCCAAGCUUUUCUAUACACCCUGCCUUUCAGCUGGUCUCCAAACUGGGGAAUCGUUAGUGAGAUUUUUAAAUUGUGCCCA